rnacentral:rRNA from 1 species
UACGUAGGGUGCGAGCGUUGUCCGGAAUCAUUGGGCGUAAAGGGUGCGUAGGCGGCGCGGUAAGUCGGGUGUGAAAUCUUGGAGCUUAACUCCGAAACUGCAUUCGAUACUGCCGUGCUUGAGGACUGGAGAGGAGAGUGGAAUUCCUGGUGUAGCGGUGAAAUGCGCAGAUAUCAGGAAGAACACCAAUGGCGAAGGCAGCUCUCUGGGACGGUACUGACGCUGAGACGCGAAAGCGUGGGGAGCGAACAGG